CUCUGAUAAAAGAAAAAGGUAAAAAAAAUAACAUCACUGAUAAGAUGCUUGAAAUAAUUGUAUUGUGUAUUUAACAUGAAAAAUCUUCCAUGACAGAAUUCACUCCAGACUUUCAGCUGUUUUCUGGUAAUCACAUGUUUCCUACACUAUAGUUUACAACAUUUAUUCCUGCUCAUGUUGCAGAGAAUGUACACAGUCACAUGUGUCAGUGGUGAUGGGACACAGCAGGACAUGUUGAGGACAGCUGCAUUUGACUGAUUCUGUGUGUUUGCAUAUGUGUCCUCCCUCUUUGUUCUUGGCCGUUAAGAGUCCAGUGUUGAUCAGUGAGUGUCCAGGUCUGGAGACACUGACUCACUGGCAGCACAAUGAUGAUGAUGUGUAUGACUCUACUGCUGGUCACUCUGGAGCUCCUUGUUCAGGGUUCAUCAGGAGACAUCACCAUGACUCAGUCUCCUGGGUCUCUGUCUACUGCUCCAGGACAGACUGUCUCCAUCAAAUGUAAAUCCAGUCAACUUAUAGGUGAUGAUGUUAACUGGUACCUGCAGAAACCUGCAGAACCUCCUAAACUCCUGAUUGCAGAUACAACAUAUCGUCAGUCUGGAGUUCCAGAUCGCUUCAGUGCAACUUAUCAUCAGACUGACUUCACUCUGACCAUCAGAGAUGUUCAGACUGAAGAUGGAGGAGUUUAUUACUGUCAGCAGCACAACAGCUUCCCGCUCACACAGUGAUAAAACGUCGUACAAAAACCUCCCUCAGCUGCAGAGGAACUAAUGUGACUCAACAGCUGCACACACACUAACAUAUCACAGCAGACGAUGAACAUCUUUCUCACACUGAACAUUUAAACAGUGCAGAGUUCAGACGUGAUAAUAACACCUUUAAUAAUAAAAUCACUUAGAUGUUUGACCACAUGUUUCUACAGAGAAUGUUUAUGUGCUGAGUCUGAGGUCAAGUCUUUAAGUUGACAUGUGAGUCAAGAAGAGAAUAUUAGAGGAUUUUUUCCAAUUAUAACAAACAUUAACCGCGUUGAACUACUUUACUAAACAUAUACUCAAUUAUAUGAACUGUAUUUAUAUAGUAACUACGCUUGUACAUGUAUUUAUUAUUUUCUUAUUACACACACCAUUGAUUUUAUAAAGUGGCUCAGAGAUUCUUUAAUAAAUCAGCCUCUAUGCAGAUUACAUUCUAUGAUACAUGUAAGACAUCCACAUUUUCUUUUAAUUUUUUAAUCUCAUCACUCUU